GACGAACGCUGGCGGCGCGCCUAACACAUGCAAGUCGAACGGAGUCAAGAGGAGCUUGCUUUUCUUGACUUAGUGGCGAACGGGUGAGUAACGCGUGAGUAACCUCCCCUGGAGUGGGGGACAACAAUUGGAAACGACUGCUAAUACCGCAUAAGCCCACGGAUCCGCAUGGAUCUGCGGGAAAAGGAUUUAUUCGCUUCAGGAUGGAGUCGCGUCCAAUUAGCUAGUUGGUGAGGUAACGGCCCACCAAGGCCACGAUUGGUAGCCGGACUGAGCGGUUGAACGGCCGCAUUGGGACUGCGACCCAGCCCAGACUCCUACGGGAGGCAGCAGUGGGUGAUAUAGCAGAAUGGGGGAAACCCAGAUGCAGCGACGCCGCGUGGAGGAAGAAGGUGUUCGGAUUGUAAACUCCUGUCGUUAGGGACGAUAAUGACGGUACCUAACAAGAAAGCACCGGCUAACUACGUG
rnacentral:rRNA from 1 species